rnacentral:rRNA from 1 species
GACGAACGCUGGCGGCGUGCUUAACACAUGCAAGUCGAACGGAAAGGCCCUGCUUUUGUGGGGUGCUCGAGUGGCGAAAGGGUGAGUAACACGUGAGUAACCUGCCCUUGACUUUGGGAUAACUUCAGUAAACUGGGGCUAAUACCGGAUAGGAGCUCCUGCUGCAUGGUGGGGGUUGGAAAGUUUCGGCGGUUGGGGAUGGACUCGCGGCUUAUCAGCUUGUUGGUGGGGUAGUGGCUUACCAAGGCUUUGACGGGUAGCCGGCCUGAGAGGGUGACCGGCCACAUUGGGAAUGAGAUACGGCCCAGACUCCUACGGGAGGCAGCAGUGGGGAAUAUUGCACAAUGGGCGGAAGCCGGAUGCAGCAACGCCGCGUGCGGGAUGACUGCCGUCGGGUUGUAAACCGCUUUCGCCUGUGACGAAGCGUGAGUGACGGUAAUGGGUAAAGAAGCACCGGCUAACUACGUG